GUAGUACUCCCUCUGUCCCAAAAUUCUUGUCUUAGAUUUUUCUAGAUCCGGAUGUACCUAAUACUAAAACAUGACUUGAUACAUCCAUAUUUAGACAAAUCUAAGACAAGAAUUUUGGGACGAAGGGAGUAGUAA
rfam:Triticum aestivum genome assembly, contig: Triticum_aestivum_CS42_TGACv1_scaffold_061824_1DL